rnacentral:rRNA from 1 species
GCGAGAAAACUUUGCAAUGUGCGAAAGCACGACAAGGUUAAUCCGAGUGGUUUCUGCUAAAGGGACCUUUUGUCAGUCCUAGAAACACUGAUGAAUAAGGGGUGGGCAAGUUCUGGUGUCAGCCGCCGCGGUAAAACCAGCACCUCAAGUGGUCAGGAUGAUUAUUGGGCCUAAAGCAUCCGUAGCCGGCUCUGUAAGUUUUCGGUUAAAUCUGUACGCUCAACGUACAGGCUGCCGGGAAUACUGCAAAGCUAGGGAGUGGGAGAGGUAGACGGUACUCGGUAGGAAGGGGUAAAAUCCUUUGAUCUAUUGAUGACCACCUGUGGCGAAGGCGGUCUACCAGAACACGUCCGACGGUGAGGGAUGAAAGCUGGGGGAGCAAACCGGAUUAGAUACCCGGGUAGUCCCAGCUGUAAACCAUGCAAACUCAGUGAUGCAUUGGCUUGUGGCCAAUGCAGUGCUGCAGGGAAGCCGUUAAGUUUGCCGCCUGGGAAGUACGUACGCAAGUAUGAAACUUAA